rnacentral:rRNA from 1 species
AGUAGCGCGUAAAGAACUUGCCUCAUAGUUUGGGACAACAUCUGGAAACGGAUGCUAAUACCGGAUAUUAUGCUUUCUUCGCAUGGAGGAAGUAUGAAAGCUAUAUGCGCUAUGAGAGAGCUUUGCGUCCCAUUAGCUAGUUGGUGAGGUAACGGCCCACCAAGGCGAUGAUGGGUAGCCGGCCUGAGAGGGUGAACGGCCACAAGGGGACUGAGACACGGCCCUUACUCCUACGGGAGGCAGCAGCU